GGAUAUGAAGAUGCUAUUUGACACCCAGUCUUACUUUCUUUUGAAAUAUGGUGAGAUUUUAUUGUUGUCUGAUCC